GAUGAACGCUAGCGGCAGGCUUAACACAUGCAAGUCGAGGGGCAGCGUGGAGCAGCAAUGCUCUGACGGCGACCGGCGGAAGGGUGCGUAACACGUGAGCGACUUGCCCGUCACAGGGGGAUAACCGGCGGAAACGGCGACUAAUACCCCAUACGAUGUGAUGCUGCAUGGCAUUGCAUUGAAAGAUUCAUCGGUGGCGGAUAGGCUCGCGGGACAUUAGCUAGACGGCGGGGCAACGGCCCACCGUGGCGACGAUGUCUAGGGGUUCUGAGAGGAAGGCCCCCCACACUGGGACUGAGACACGGCCCAGACUCCUACGGGAGGCAGCAGUGAGGAAUAUUGGUCAAUGGGCGGAAGCCUGAACCAGCCAUGCCGCGUGAAGGACUAAGGCCCUACGGGUCGUAAACUUCUUUAGACGCAGAGCAAUAAGGUCCACGUGUGGACCGAUGAGAGUAUGCGUAGAAUAAGCAUCGGCUAAC
rnacentral:rRNA from 1 species